GUCCAUUCCGCCUACCCCCCAAGCUGCAGGACCACAGCUGAUAACCUCUCAACUUUGGCCCAGCCACCCCGACUGGGGGAGGGCGGUAGGAGCGGAAAGCUAGUGUCCAGGCGAACCCGCACUAAGCACAGGAGAGGAGGAGCGAAGAGGCGGAGUCCUCACUGUUGUUGGGGUUUUCUGACCCUGAGGCCUCUUGGUUCCGUCCGGGCUCACCGUGUGGGGCCGGAGAUCAACGGCCCGGGAACGGUUCCCGGGAGCGGGGGCCGCUGCUGCUCCAGCAGCUGUAACAACCCGCUGCUGCAGUCUCCCCGCUGGCAGCUUCGGCCGAAUCAGCGCUCCGCGCCGGCCCCCGUACGUCACCGCCCCGCGCCGGCACACCCGACGCCUCCUGGGAGUUGUAGUUUCUUCCGCUGGCUCCGGGCCGGCCCGCCGGACGCCUCCUAGGAGUUGUAGUUUUUCCCGGGCUCCGUUUCCGGCCUCUUCGGGGACGCACGGUUGGAAGUUGUACCGUGACGUGAUGGUCAGAUCGGAUGAUAGAAUUUUGAAACCUCCCCAGCAUUAAGGCAAGAAAGGUGUCUGUUUUUUCCGAAGUGUGCCUGCUUGACUCCUUUGAUUUUUCUCUGGGAUUCUUCAUCCUCCAUCAAGUUGAUCGAGCCCUCUGGAUCUUGGUCAGUUUCCUGACAUCUCUAUGAAGUUCAGUGACCCAGACUGAGUCCACGUCUCAAAUAAGGUUCUGACUAAUGCAGAGUCUAACAGAAAGAUUACUGAACAUGUCAUGCACUAUUAAUAA